AUCACCGGGAGAACAAUUUCUAGAUGCUAAAUUGAAAUGUAUUGUCCAGUGUCUUGCGUUGUCAUUCUUUCAUUAUUCAAGGUAUGUGUCUCACAAGGAAAUAGAAAAUGCUGAAUUUUGCAUGUGUGAUUGGUUCAACAACCUCAACCUCUGUCUCGCUGUCAACCACAUGCAAGCUUUCUCCUUGCUUUAGGUGAGAGCAUUUAUUUCAUCGCCUUUUUAGCUUGAUCAGAUUGCAAGUUUGAUAGGUUUCCCUAACCCGGGUUAGGAACCCUUUGAUUUUGGUUCCUUGCUAUAACUCUGUAUGCAAUUUUGUUUCUCUGUCCAUUCUUAGCUACAAAUGCUUAUUUAUAAACAGAUGGAUGCACGGUUCAUUGUAGUCUUGCAGUUUGGAAUACCAAAAAAAGCAUUUGUUUGAGUGGUAUAGCGUUUAGAUGUCAUUUUCUUGUUUGCUGUUUUUAUCGCCUUUUAUUGUCGUGCUAUGAGUUGAUAUGAAUCAGCUAGCUAUUGUCUAAUUGUUGAAAUACCACCCUUUCGAGCAGCCCUUAAACACAGAAUAAGGAAACGAGGAUAUUUCGGAGUCCCAGUUUCACUGCCUUCGUGGAUGCUGGAGCCACUACCACCUUUACUAUGUGUGUGGUUAGGGUAUAGAUCAAACUACAAUUCAACAAUGAUCAUCUACACCAUCAGAUCUGCGACUAUAAAACUCCAUGCUAAUGUUCCAUAUUCCUCUUCUCUGCUAAUUUUUAGAGUUUAUCCUUCUAUGAAUUACCUAAUUUCAGUAACAACUGACAAAUAUCAGUCUAUUUGUUAACAUCUCCAUCUCCAUCAAGGUUUUUAAAUUGACUUAAGAGUAUGUAUGUGCCCCUAUCAUUUUUUUGGUUCGUCAACAGAUGAAGUAAUCAACCGUUCGAAUGAGGGAUUAGGAGUACAUCAUCUAAAAUAUUGUUGUUUCCAGUUAAAUGUGUACCGAUAAAUUUAACUAUCAAAAUCAUUGUACUGAGAAAAAAAUUUGUUCUUAUUUGCAGGCAUUGUGUGGCGAUAAACACAUGACCAGCAAGGGGCCCUGCCCCCUCCCAAUACUAUGGAUUUGUUCAUAAUAAACACAUGAACAGUGCAGCAUUUGACUUGUUUUCUGCUCCAACCGGCCCUCCCCAACAUCCUAAUCCCAUUAAUCCCCUCCUCCACUGCAGGCAUGCCGGCCUUUUCUUAAUUGCUAUACUUUUGAGGACGCAUCACUAAAAAAACUACAAGAGGUACCACAAGUCUGUAAAACCCUUAUUACAUUUUUGCAUAUGUACAGAAGUGAAAAAUAGAAGUGAAUUUAGCUAUAUACUUUGAAAAUUGUAGUGGUUUUGCAUGUCUAAUAAUUUUUUUUGUUAUGAUAUUAUUUUGUUCGCCGGUAUUUAAUCCUUGGGGAUUUUUAUCUUUCCCAUUCAGAGUAGUCCAAUUGAUACUUCCGAUGGACACAUGACAGGUUGGUGAUGAUGUCAUCUAAUCCAUAUUGGAAGGUUUAAUAAUGUACUUGAACACUAAAACUAUAUAAUGGAUGGUUCUAGAUGGGGGCAGGGAUCCUCUAUUUCCUUUACCAAAUGGAGUCGGUCAUAAUCACAUGUUGUCUGACCUUAUCUCUAUGCUCUCUUCACCUUAUUCUUUGCAUCAUUUCACCGGUACAAGUCAUCAGAUGGGUAUUACUGUUUCCAGUAUGUUGUGUGUCGGUGGCCUGAAGCACAAGCUACUCACUAUACUAUAUAGUACUGUGCUACAACUGUGAAUUUUGCAAUCCUGGUAUACCCUAAUUUGAGGUGAUUUAUAUGCCAGGUUAUCCUAAUCUUUAUGUAUCUGAUGCUAAAACCAUCAUGUUUGCUUGCAGAGAUUCAGUUAAGACUUAAAUUAACAAUUAUGUAUCCGAAGACUGACAUUUGAGAUUAGAGGUUUCAUGGCAAUGAUGGAGUGCUACCAAAUUAUGUUCCAAGAAAAAUGAUUUCUGCCUCAACUUGACUACAUGCCCGGCCCUGAGGGGGGGCAGGGGGGGCGGCCGCCCCGGGCCCCCGGAAUCAGGGGGCCCCCAUUUAUGUAUGUAUGUCAUGUAUAUUACUAGUCGAUUUGGCCCAGCACACAGCCCAAACGGGAGGUCAGCAGGCGGCAAGACACACAGCCCUCUGAUGACGCAUAGAUUAGAUCGUGCCCCGCGGCAGUUGCCCAUCGCCGGCCACGCCGAGAAGCCGAGCCGCAAGGGCUGAUUCAAUGAUUUUUGCCGGCGUCAGCAGACGACAUGCCCCAUGAUUGUUCCGGGAGUACGUCGGCCACGCAGCCGCCGAGACAUCAGACAUCCCUAGUCCGCGCACCUUGCCUUUAUCCUCCUUCAGUACAUGUGGCAUUUCAACCGGAUGCAAUUCCAGUAUGUGCACUCAUGUGGGAAAAAAUUUAGUUAUGCACUCUCAAGUUUCAUAUUUCCUAGUAUACAUUGCAUGAUUUUGCUUACCCUCUCUAUAUGGAUCUUUUUUAUAUACUUUUGAUUUUUUUUCAGGAUAGAUUAUUGGUGGAUAGAUCAACUCUUGCACACCUAAUAUAUGGAGUUUUACUUGUGUCCGGCUUCACAAGAGGAACACAAGCAAAGUACCAGUGGCGUCAGGGGUCUUGGGCGGGGGUCGAAGGGCGUCGGCGUCGCCCACCACCAGUAGCAGCGGAAGUAGAGGCGUCGCCCACCACUACCACCACAACCAGCAGGCGCCUGAAGUAGACCAGCGCGGUGGCGACUGAAGUGGACCAGCAUGGUGGCAAUGGGCGGCAGAAUGUGGGCGAAGUAGACCGACGCGACAGUGGGCGGGCGACGGAGCUCUUCCUUGUGGGCGGGCGGCGGAGCUCCUCAUCAUGGGCGGUCGGUCGAGCUCCUUCAUGGGUGGGCGGCGGAGCUCCUCCUCCUGGGCGGGCUUGUAGGCGACGCAAGACCUGAUCGUGGGCGGCGCAGGAGCUGCUCCCGGAGACGGCUGGCUGCGGCAGCUAGCCGUGGCGACGGCCGGCUGGCCUUGGCGAUGCGGAUGACGGGAGGUGGAAGGAGAUGGAGUUUAUUUACAGAGCUUUGAAAGUGGAAGGGUGUUUUUCCAAAAAAAAAAAACUAUUGUACUGGGCGGGUGACAACUUUCCCCGGACGGAGGGAGUAUUGGUUUAUAGUGGGAGCAGUAUUCAUCA